rnacentral:rRNA from 14 species
CCUUACGACCAUACCAGCCUGGAUACGCCGGAUCUCGUCUGAUCUCUGACCCUGAGCAGGGUCGGGCCUGGUCGGUACUUGGAUGGAGACCGCCUGGGAAUACCAGGUGUUUUUAAUC